GGACCUGAAGUCCACACGUGCAAGUGUGCAACCCGCGGAAAUUGUCCUUCUAUCUUCUUUCGCUAUUUCUCAUCUCUCUCCUUACCUUCUCUGUUUUCACUUCUCACGCCUCUCGUCACUCUCCCUUCUUACUUUCCUUUCUCCUCUCUCCUGUAAAUGCAAAAUCUAAUCGCUAAGUCAAGGUAGAUUUUUGAGAAAUUCAGAGAUCCUAAACCCUAACCUCCGAUUCUUCGAUCAUAAGGUAUGCGUGGCACGUCCUGAGCGACCGUUUCACAACAACUAGUAGCAAGUUAUUAAGAACGUAGAUCACCUAAAGACAAUCAGUUGGUUUUAUUUAAUUCAGUUUGUGACGAUAUUUUGGGUAGUUGGUUUAAGUUAUUUAAUUAUGACAA